AAGAAAUUUAAUAAUUUUGAAAAUGGAUUUUUUUUUGUUUUGGCAAGAGCAUGAGAGCUUUUACUGGGCAAGAAGACAAGAGAUGGAGAGUCCAGCCGGGCCUGCGCUUAAGUGCGCGGUCUUGCUAGGCCUUGUAAGUUUCUUUCUUGCUAUUCCAAACGGUGAGAGAUUUCUGUGCUUUUGUUAUAGGACAAUUAAAACCGUUUCAAUACAACACACUGUGGAGUUUUCAUAUCUUUGCAACUUUUUCUUUGGGCAUUCGAGCAAUCGGGGCCCAGAGGUAACAAACACAAACAAUUUUAUCUAUUCAUUAAAUUUUUGUCAAAAACAAGAAUUUUCGUAACUGGAAAUUUUAAAAUAUUAAAAACUUUCAACAACGGAUCUCUUGGUUCUCGCAUCGAUGAAGAACGCAGCGAAAUGCGAUACGUAAUGUGAAUUGCAGAAUUCCGUGAAUCAUCGAAUCUUUGAACGCACAUUGCGCCCCUUGGUAUUCCAGGGGGCAUGCCUGUUUGAGCGUCAUUUCCUUCUCAAACAUUCUGUUUGGUAGUGAGUGAUACUCUUUGGAGUUAACUUGAAAUUGCUGGCCUUUUCAUUGGAUGUUUUUUUUUUCCAAAGAGAGGUUUCUCUGCGUGCUUGAGGUAUAAUGCAAGUACGGUCGUUUUAGGUUUUACCAACUGCGGCUAAUCUUUUUUAUACUGAGCGUAUUGGAACGUUAUCGAUAAGAAGAGAGCGUCUAGGCGAACAAUGUUCUUAAAGU
rnacentral:misc_RNA from 1 species